rnacentral:rRNA from 1 species
UACGUAGGGUGCAAGCGUUGUCCGGAAUUAUUGGGCGUAAAGAGCUCGUAGGCGGUUUGUCGCGUCUGCUGUGAAAAUCCAGGGCUUAACCCUGGACCUGCAGUGGGUACGGGCAGACUAGAGUGCAGAAGGGGCAACUGGAAUUCUCGGUGUAGCGGUGAAAUGCGUAGAUAUCGAGAGGAACACCUGCGGCGAAGGCGGGUUGCUGGGCUGACACUGACGCUGAUGCGCGAAAGCUAGGGGAGCGAACGGG